GACGAACGCUGGCGGCGUGCUUAACACAUGCAAGUCGAGCGGAAAGGCCACUUCGGUGGUACUCGAGCGGCGAACGGGUGAGUAACACGUGAGUAAUCUGCCCCUGGCUUUGGGAUAGCCACCGGAAUCGGUGAUUAAUACCGGAUACGACCACUUCUCGCAUGGGAUGGCGGUGGAAAGUUUUUUCGGCCAGGGAUGUGCUCGCGGCCUAUCAGCUUGAUGGUGAGGUAAUGGCUCACCAUGGCUUCGACGGGUAGCCGGCCUGAGAGGGUGACCGGUCACACUGGGACUGAGACACGGCCCAGACUCCUACGGGAGGCAGCAGUGGGGAAUAUUGGACAAUGGGCGGAAGCCUGAUCCAGCAACGCCGCGUGAGGGAUGACGGCCUUCGGGUUGUAAACCUCUUUCAGCAGGGACGAAGCGCAAGUGACGGUACCUGCAGAAGAAGCACCGGCCAACUACGUGCCAGCAGCCGCCGUAA
rnacentral:rRNA from 1 species